AUUCCAGCUCCAAUAGCGUAUAUUAAAGUUGUUGCAGUUAAAAAGCUCGUAGUUGGAUUUCUGUUCUCGAGGAUCGGUCCGCCUCACGGUGAGCACUGGUUUUUCUUGGGGACAUCCUCUCGAAGGCGGGUGGUGCACUUAAUUGUGUGCUGCUUGGAUUCGGGACCUUUACUUUGAAAAAAUUAGAGUGUUCAAAGCAGGCGUCGGCUUGAAUACAUUAGCAUGGAAUAAUGGAAUAGGACUUUGGUUCUAUUUUGUUGGUUUCUACGACCGCAGUAAUGAUUAAGAGGGACGAUUGGGGGCAUCCGUAUUUCGUUGUCAGAGGUGAAAUUCUUGGAUUUACGAAAGGCGAACAACUGCGAAAGCAUCUGCCAUGAGUGUUUUCAUUA
rnacentral:rRNA from 1 species